rnacentral:rRNA from 1 species
CCUACGGGAGGCAGCAGUGGGGGAUAUUGCACAAUGGGGGGAACCCUGAUGCAGCGACGCCGCGUGUGGGAAGACGGUCCUCUGGAUUGUAAACCACUGUCCCCAGGGACGAAAAUGACGGUACCUGGGGAGGAAGCUCCGGCUACCUACGUGCCAGCAGCCGCGGUAAUACGUAGGGAGCGAGCUUUGUCCGGAAUUACUGGGUGUAAAGGGAGCGUAGGCGGGGAUGCAAGUUGGGUGUCAAAACUACCGGCUCAACUGGUAGUCGCACUCAAAACUGCAGCGCUUGAGUGAAGUAGAGGCAGGCGGAAUUCCUAGUGUAGCGGUGAAAUGCGUAGAUAUUAGGAGGAACACCAGUGGCGAAGGCGGCCUGCUGGGCUUUGACUGACGCUGAGGCUCGAAAGUGUGGGGAGCAAACAGGAUUAGAUACCCGUGUAGUC